GCCGCUGCCCCCUGUCCCGACCCCACCUCCCCGGGUUCCCUCAGCCUAACUCGGUCCAGCCCGGUUCCCGGGAGGAUGAAGUUCGUGUACAAAGAGGAGCAUCCAUUCGAGAAGCGCCACUCUGAGGGCGAGAAGAUCCGAAAAAAAUACUCAGACCGGGUUCCGGUGAUAGUAGAAAAGGCUCCCAAAGCUCGGAUAGGGGACCUGGACAAAAAGAAAUAUCUGGUGUCUUCUGAUCUCACAGUUGGUCAGUUCUACUUCUUGAUCCAGAAGCGAAUUCAUCUUCGAGCUGAGGACGCCUUGUUUUUCUUUGUCAACAAUGUUAUUCCACCCACCAGUGCCACAAUGGGUCAGCUAUACCAGGAACACCAUGAAGAAGACUUCUUUCUAUACAUUGCCUACAGUGAUGAAAGUGUCUACGGUCUGUGAAGCUGCUACCCUUGAGGUGGGAGGUUCCAUUCUACAAAGAGAGAGGUGGCACCCCUUUCCUGAUCUCCACCUCCUUCAGGCUCAAACACAGCCUCCCUUCUUCAGGACCUGCACUUCUUAAAGAUUAAGGCUUUCUGUCCAGCCCCUCUUAGCAGGAGGGUAAUGGUGGACAUGGCCUUUUGUACCUUUCUUUUCUCCUUUCUUCCC